GCGGGAGUAGCUCAGUUGGUAGAGCGCAACCUUGCCAAGGUUGAGGUCGCGAGUUCGAGACUCGUCU
rnacentral:tRNA from 1 species